rnacentral:tRNA from 1 species
GUGUUGGUGGUUUAGUGACAGAAUUUUCACAUUUCAUGCAAGAAGCCUGGGUUCGAUUCCUGGCCAAUGCA